rnacentral:rRNA from 1 species
CCUACGGGAGGCAGCAGUGAGGAAUAUUGGUCAAUGGACGAGAGUCUGAACCAGCCAAGUAGCGUGAAGGAUGACUGCCCUAUGGGUUGUAAACUUCUUUUAUAAAGGAAUAAAACGAGGCACGUGUGCCUUUUUGCAUGUACUUUAUGAAUAAGGAUCGGCUAACUCCGUGCCAGCAGCCGCGGUAAUACGGAGGAUCCGAGCGUUAUCCGGAUUUAUUGGGUUUAAAGGGAGCGUAGGUGGGUUGUUAAGUCAGUUGUGAAAGUUUGCGGCUCAACCGUAAAAUUGCAAUUGAUACUGGCAGUCGUGAGUACAGUUGAGGUAAGCGGAAUUCGUGGUGUAGCGGUGAAAUGCUUAGAUAUCACGAAGAACCCCGAUUGCGAAGGCAGCUUACUAAACUGGGACUGACACUGAUGCUCGAAAGUGUGGGUAUCAAACAGGAUUAGAUACCCGAGUAGUC